rnacentral:rRNA from 1 species
GACGAACGCUGGCGGCGUGCCUAAUACAUGCAAGUCGAACGAGUGGCGGACGGGUGAGUAAUGCCUGGGAAUUGCCCAGUCGAGGGGGAUAACAGUUGGAAACGACUGCUAAUACCGCAUACGAUUGGAUUGCCCAGGUGGGAUUAGCUAGUUGGUGAGGUAAUGGCUCACCAAGGCGACGAUCCCUAGCUGGUCUGAGAGGAUGAUCAGCCACACUGGAACUGAGACACGGUCCAGACUCCUACGGGAGGCAGCAGUGGGGAAUAUUGCACAAUGGGGGAAACCCUGAUGCAGCCAUGCCGCGUGUGUGAAGAAGGCCUUCGGGUUGUAAAGCACUUUCAGCGAGGAGGCGUUACUCGCAGAAGAAGCACCGGCUAACUCCGUGCCAGCAGCCGCGGUAAUUC